UGAUAAUGUGAAAAAUUGCUGAUAAUUAUUCUGAGCCCUACACAGACUUUUAAUUGCAUUACAUUGGGGCAACAAAAUGAAAUCACACCUAUUUAGCUGUCAUCGUGAUAAAAUUUUAAUUUGCCAAUUACUGGCCAUAGAUUUAAAACGAAAGGCCGUGAAUCGAGCUGAAACUGAAACUAUUUUUGUCAAUCGGCUUCAUUAUCAAGGUUAAUGCGUGAUAAGAACCGAACCAGUGUAUGAAUGACUUUGAAAUAUAAUAAUUAUCAUUGCAUCCACAGCAAGCUCAAGUCAAUAUUUAAUUAAUGUUAUCAUCUAUUGACAUGCUACUCGUUUUUUUAAAUUUAAGGGUGCGGCAAUCAGUAUUUAUUUUACAGAUGCUUACCAUCGUGGAAUUAGGCAGUCAGUUCAACCCAUUUGCUUACACAAAAUGAUUUUGUAUAUCGAUUCAAUGGCAAGCCAUGAUAUUACGGGUUUAUGUGAUAAUAAAUACAAAAUAUCUUUUACGUUGUACUGAUUAAGCAAUAAAAACAAAUUUAUGAUUUCAAUCGAUUAAUGUUAACGCUUUUGAUGGGCUACAAUAAUUCGCAAAGUUAUGCAGAUAAAUUAUUUUUGUUGCCUAUAGGAUUUGGAGGAUAAAAUGAGUCUUUAGUAUAAGUGAUAAAAAUAUUACCGCUCAUCGCUUUUGUGUUCGAUUGGUAUUUUGCAAUAUUGUUCAGUAAAGUAUGAUUGUAUCUGCCUUCAUCGAUGUUCACUGAUGACCUUACCCUACCUAUAUUCAUCACGAUUGCGUAAUUCUCUGAAAUCUAAUCUCUCGGCUGCAAAGCUGCCUCAAUUAGAAAGCUAAAAUUAAUAAUUCCUACCAUCCACGGAAUUACUCAUGCCUGACAGCGAAGAACAGAAAUUACUACAAAAAAGGCAAAUAGAGCUGAGCAAACGAAAAACCCGAAACACGAACCGCCACAAUUGACAAAGCUAACCACAACAAAGGCACCCACAACAACAGCAAUCGAAAGUCAACGUCGAAACUUACUUGAGGCGCCAGCGCAGGCGCUCCACAAAGCCGAGGUUCUUGUGCAUAUCGAAUAGACUAGUUCACCAGGCG